UUGGGGAGUUUUCAGUAUAAUAAAAGUUGCUUUUAUUCUACAUGAAUUGCAUGAAAGAACUGGAGCUGCUUGCAUUUCUUGGAUUUUAUUUUAUUUUUUUUUUACAUUUUCUUUCCAGACUAGGAGAAACAGAACAAGUAACAGAAUAUACAUUCUAUAAUAUACAGAGGGCUUCUUAAUACUCACUCACAGUAUCCUCAGCCAUCCCAGUGAGGCAGUUCUGGACAAGUGCUAUGGAUGCCUCUUUCUGGGUAUAAGUCUUUCUAGAAAACUACAUUUCAUUUUAAGUGUCAGUGAAGGCAGAGGUAGUGGGGAUAUUUUUUUCCAGAAAAGAAGGAUUUCAGUAAAUUGACUGAUCCCCUGCACUUAUUUGUGAGGGGACACAGGGUAAGCCUGACCUGGGAUCAAUCUCUGGCAUGAUGACAGGAAGGAGUGCAAGAUUCUGGGAAAAUACAAAAUAAAGAAGAAAAAAACGAAAAUCAAAACAACAUAAAUGAAAUAUAACCUCAGAUCACGAUUAUUCCAGUUACUAGGCAUGCCUGAGCUACUGAAAUACCGUGUAAGGUUUCUAUAGUGUGAUUACCACCUCAGCUGGGUAGCGGACGGGAAUGCAGAGAUCGUGCGCCCCUCGGAUAUGUGAAAUUCUACCUAAAAACAAAGCAAUUAUUAUAUUAACCAAUCAUGUGAAUAGAAAUACACCCAUAAAACAGUCAAAAAAUACCAGGGUGCUCGGUUCUGAUUGACUUGAUCAAAAUCAAUGAUUGGAGAUGAGAAGGUAAUUCGGGAUAUUCCACAAAACAAAAAAAACCACAAAAAAGUAGUAUUAACUAUUGGAAAUUUAUUUAUAAAAUAAAUACAUUUGUUAUUUUUUUUAA